rnacentral:lncRNA from 1 species
GAAGGACAGCCGUCUAUGAACCAGGAAUCAGGCCCUCACCAGACACCAAAUCUGCUGACAUCUUGAUCCUUAGGCUUCCCAGCCUCCGGAAUUCUCUGACCCAGGGACAUGCUCCUCCUUGAGGAAGCGCACUGCAGGCAGAUCCAUCAGACCUACCGUCAGCUCUGAGGUGCCUUCUCUUAGUCCUUCGUCUAUACAGAUUGUUGGCCACCAUAUUUCGCCCAGGCUGCAGUGGAAGAGCCCUCGGGCUCUGGAGCCUAUGACCUGGGUGAGUGUCUCCUCUUAAUACCACCUCUCAACUCUUGACCUCCGGCAAGUUACUUAACCUCUCUGUGCCUCGGUUUGCCUUAUCUGUAAAUAAAUUGAGGUAGGUGAAGCCCUUAGCACAGUGCCAGGGGCAUAUGCAGUGUGAAAUAAAUGUUAGCUAUUAUUAUUAUUACUUCCUCUGGGCAUGGUGAAAAUGUAAUGAGCUAAUGCACAGAAAGCACCCAGAACAGUGACCAGCAUGGAAGUUCAUGCUUAGUCAAUGUUUGUUGCUGUUAUACCUUAGAAACCAGCAGGACAUACCAAUUGUCACUUCCUGGCCAGGCUCACAACCUUAGCUGUCUGUUCAAUCAACCUGACGAAUUUUUAAAAUAUACCCAUCAAUGGGCCUCAUCCUAGCUCAGUGGGUCUCAGCUUUGGCAGCUCAAUGCAAUCACUUGGGGAGCUUUAAUAGCUAUGGAUAGCUAAGCUACAUUCCCAGAAACUCUCACAGAAAUGGCCUGUAGUGUCCUGGCCGGUGAAAUGUGUCAAAGCUUCCCAGGGGUGGCCAGAGCUGAGAACCCUGUCUUAGGAGGAUCUAAUUGGAAGAGAGGACAUCAUAGAUAAUAUAAUAGUGACAUCAUAGGUGACAGAGGAAAUGCCCGGUGGCUCUGAGACCAGCAGAGAGGUGCAGGCAACUCUCUGGGGGUCCAAGACAUGGUCCCUCGAGGGCCUCCCGGUGGGUAUUGAGCCAAGGAGCAGCCAGUGGUGAUCACAGACUCCAACCAAGGGCUGGGCCCCUCCAGAGUGAGCAGAGCCCUGCUCAGCCAGCUCCUGCAAAUAUCAAUCCUGCAGGAAGGGUUGUGGGGAGAAGACACUGUUCCAACCAACUGACCUGCUGGAUUGGAGGAUCUAGAAACCUACACGUGACUCUGGCCAAGAUAAAAUGCUUCAAGAUUCCUGGACUGGGAAUCUCACCAUCGGUUCCCCUGGUUCUCAGACCCUUGGGCAUGAGCUGAAUUGCACCAUGGCUUUCUGUUUGUCUGGGGAACGCUGACUAAUACAAGGCAUCUCAACUUGGGCAUUACUGAGGCUGUAGGGUCACGGUAAGCCCUGAAAUUGCACAUGUCUGUGCACUGUUAUGGGGAGAAGAUCCACAAGGUCACUUAAUCCUCCAAAAGGUGAAGAGCUGUUGCCUUCAGGAGCCCCAGGGAGAAAAACCAGGCUUGAGGGUUUUAGGUAAACCAGCCGCAGAGCCCUGAACCCUAUCUUCACAGAGCACUGAUUCCAGCCUCUCCCACUGACAGAAACUGUUGGGUUUAUGAUUUAUGUAAGUGUCCUAAUCGCCACUGAAUUGAUCAAGGCAAAGGGGUAUUUAAGGAAUGAAACCUGAACUGCUCUGCAAGGUGAGGGUUAGGAAUAUCUUAUACUUCCCUGCAGCUGGAGCAUGCAUGAAGUUAAUUAUUGCAUACAACAGCAUUGUAAAAUUUGGAGAAAGAGCAUAGGGCUCCAAGAAGUAUUGUCCUCAAAGUUACAGAACUGGUGACCUAAGACAGAAGCCACCCAUUAACCACUGGACCUUGGACAAGUUGCUGUCUUCAGGAUUCAGAGUCCUCAUCUAUAAAAUGGGAUUAAUAGGGUUGUUGUGGACGUUCAAUCAUAUAAUGUGGACAUUCAAUGUGUAAAGAGUUUACAGAGUGAAAGAUGAAGUCACUGCUUGAUAACUGUUAGUUUUUAUUACACUACUGAUAAUUACUUUAUUAAAUGUUUCUGUCAGUGAUAGUUGGGGAAAGGAGAAAUAAUAGAAGAUACUAUUAGAACUAAGCCUACAAUUGAUAUGUAACUUGCAGCUUGCCCUGCUGAGCAAAAAGGCAUAAGGAUAACAAUUCUUAGAACCAAGGCUACAAUUGAUACGUAACUUGUAGCUUGCCCUGCUGAGCAAAAAGGCAUAAGGAUAACAAUUCUGCCAAGGGCUCCUUCUGCGCCCCUCCUCACAUGCACUAACUGAAUUGCUCCUCUCAACAACCCAUCCUGUGAUUGAGGAGGCUGAGACUCAAAGAGAUUAACUAAUUUUCCCAACUCACUCCUCAGUUUGGAAAAGUGGAGGCACGACAUUAAUUGGACUCUGUCGUAAACCGCUGGUCUCUGUCUCUGGAGCAGGGGUGUGUCUGGACCACAGAGCAUGGGCAGAGAGGGCCUGCUCCUUCAUCAGUGAUGAGUUGUGUUGGGUGAGAGUACUCUUGGAUGCACAGGUCACCAGACUCAAUUCCCCUCCUUUCCUCAUUAGAAGCUUCCGCUGAAAUCUACACCUUGGCAGGAUGCAGAGCUAGGAAGUUCAUAAAUCAGAGAAUCGCUGAGUGACAAACUGCAAAAAAGGAAGUGACACUUCCCUAGGAGAUGUGGAGAUGCUGUUUGUGAACAAAAAAGCGAGAGGGACUUGGCCCCAUGUCUGCAAAGAGACAGGUGUGCUUCUGCAGGGGGGCCUGCGCCGACCCAGGUCUGCAACCCUUGUGUUACCUAUCCAUUGCUGCGCAAGCUCGGCUUUGGCCCCACAGUGCACGCCUAUCCUGUCCCCCAACCUCAUCACUCCCAGCUGUGUCUGCUCACUGCUUCCUGUCACCCCGAGUAUGCAAUUCAGACUCAGUGUCCAUGAGGCCCUCUUAUCUGGGAUUGACCAUUCUCCCUCCUCUUCCCAAACUACUUGCACCGGCCACAUCGGCUUCCAGAGCUCUGCUGGGAAACACAGUGUGCUCCUGCCUCAAGGGUUUGCUCAGGUGUUCCCUCUGCUGCAGGGCUCCUUCUCCAGUUCUUUAAAGGGCUGAUUCCAUCCCAUGGUUCAGAUUUCAGCUCAGCUCUUAGCUCUUCAGAGAGACCUUCCCUGACCUCCCAAUUUAAAUUAUACUCUGAAGCCAAUCACCAUGACGUUGACCUUUGUAAUUUUCUCCAUUAAAGCCUUCAAAAUCUUCACCUGCAACUAUUUCAUUAUUUCUUCCUCCUCUGCCAGAAGGUAAACUUCCAGAGACAGAGGCCAGCCUGUCCUGAUCACUAGGUGGUCCAGAGUUAGAACAGCAACUGGGUCGAGUGGGCCCUCUGAAUCCUCACAAGUUGGCAUCUGAAUCCAC